UACGUAGGGGGCAAGCGUUGUCCGGAAUUAUUGGGCGUAAAGCGCGCGCAGGCGGCUUUGUAAGUCUGUCGUUUAAGUUCGGGGCUCAACCCCGUAUCGCGAUGGAAACUGCAAGGCUUGAGUGCAGAAGAGGAAAGUGGAAUUCCACGUGUAGCGGUGAAAUGCGUAGAGAUCAGGCAGAACACCUGGGGCGAAGGCGGCCAGCUGGGCCGUCCCUGACGCUGAGGCGCGAAGGCGUGGGGAGCGAACGGG
rnacentral:rRNA from 1 species